rnacentral:rRNA from 1 species
AUGAACGCUGGCGGCGUGCCUAAUACAUGCAAGUCGAGCGAACAGACGAGGAGCUUGCUCCUCUGACGUUAGCGGCGGACGGGUGAGUAACACGUGGAUAACCUACCUAUAAGACUGGGAUAACUUCGGGAAACCGGAGCUAAUACCGGAUAAUAUAUUGAACCGCAUGGUUCAAUAGUGAAAGACGGUUUUGCUGUCACUUAUAGAUGGAUCCGCGCCGCAUUAGCUAGUUGGUAAGGUAACGGCUUACCAAGGCAACGAUGCGUAGCCGACCUGAGAGGGUGAUCGGCCACACUGGAACUGAGACACGGUCCAGACUCCUACGGGAGGCAGCAGUAGGGAAUCUUCCGCAAUGGGAGAAAGCCUGACGGAGCAACGCCGCGUGAGUGAUGAAGGUCUUCGGAUCGUAAAACUCUGUUAUUAGGGAAGAACAAAUGUGUAAGUAACUAUGCACGUCUUGACGGUACCUAAUCAGAAAGCCACGGCUAACUACGUG